ACGGCAUGAUGGGGACAUUUUCUGAUUAGAUCCUUUAAUCUUUCCCAUGAUUCAUGGAACUACUCACCAUCUUGUUGGGAGAAGCUAAUGAGAGCUCGUCUUAUCU
rnacentral:snoRNA from 1 species